rnacentral:SRP_RNA from 1 species
CCGUGCUAGCCGGGGAGCUAGCGGUGCCCUGUACCCGCAAUCCGCUAUAGCGGGGGUGAACUCCUGCCCGCGGUGCCGUCUUGUGGGCAGUG